rnacentral:tRNA from 1 species
GAGGGUAUAGCUCAAGUGGUAGAGCACAUGCUUAGCAUGGUCAAGGUCUUGGGUUCAACCCCCAGUACCUCCG